GCCGCGGUGGCGGAACCGGCAGACGCGUACGCUUCAGGAGCGUAUGCCCACUUACGGGCGUGGAGGUUCAAAUCCUCUCCGCGGCA
rnacentral:tRNA from 1 species